GAAUGAGAGGGCCAUCUGGCCAGAGCAUCUGUUACUGAACUGGUUGCCAGGAUUGUUUCCACUGAUCUGACUGGCUAAGUGGGAGUCCCUUUCCUCCUUAUGUCAGUCCCUCCCAAAGCCUGUGGGUGGAAUGGCGUCUUCCUUUUCUUUGGUCAAGGGUAUCUGAGUCUUGACGCAUGCUUGCUGGAAGCUCAAAGCCAGCUCUCUUUCACAAGGCCACCACAGGAAUGCCUUUUCUGCCCACAUCUUGUAAGUAUGGUGCAAAUCAAAUACAAUAAUAGACUUGACACUCUAAAGCUCUAU
ensembl:misc_RNA 7SK 7SK RNA